AUUGAACGCUGGCGGCAUGCCUUACACAUGCAAGUCGAACGGCGGCGCGGGAGCAAUCCUGGCUGCGAGUGGCGAACGGGUGAGUAAUACAUCGGAACGUGCCCAAUCGUGGGGGAUAACGCAGCGAAAGCUGUGCUAAUACCGCCUACGAUCUACGGAUGAAAGCAGGGGAUCGCAAGACCUUGCGCGAAUGGAGCGGUCGAUGGCAGAUUAGGUAGUUGGUGAGGUAAAGGCUCACCAAGCCAUCGAUUUGUAGCUGGUCUGAGAGGACGACCAGCCACACUGGGACGGAGACACGGCCCAGACGCCUACGGGAGGCAGCAGUGGGGAAUUUUGGACAAUGGGCGAAAGCCUGAUCCAGCCAUGCCGCGUGCAGGAUGAAGGCCUUCGGGUUGUAAACUGCUUUUGUACGGAACGAAACGGUCUUUUCUAAUAAAGAAGGCUAAUGACGGUACCGUAAGAAUAAGCACCGGCUAACUACGUG
rnacentral:rRNA from 1 species